AUUGAACGCUGGCGGCAGGCCUAACACAUGCAAGUCGAGCGAGCGGCGGACGGGUGAGUAAUGUAUGGGGACUGCCCGAUAGAGGGGGAUAACUACUGGAAACGGUAGCUAAUACCGCAUACUAUCGGAUAACCCAUAUGGGAUUAGCUAGUUGUUGGGGUAAUGGCUCACCAAGGCGACGAACCCUAGCUGGUCUGAGAGGAGGAGCAGCCACCCUGGGACUGAGACAGGGCCCUGACUCCUCCGGGGGCAGCAGGGGGGAAUAUUGCACAAUGGGCGCAAGCCUGAUGCAGCCAUGCCGGUUGUAUGAAGAAGGCCCUCGGGUUGUAAAGUACUUUCAGUCGGGAGGCGUUACCGACAGAAGAAGCACCGGCUAACUCCGUGCCAGCCGCCGCGGUAAUAC
rnacentral:rRNA from 1 species